rnacentral:rRNA from 1 species
UUGGGAAUAUUGGACAAUGGGCGAAAGCCUGAUCCAGCGACACCGCGUGGGGGAUGAAGGCCUUCGGGUUGUAAACUCCUUUUCCCUGGGAAAAUUAUGAUUGUACCAGGGGAAUAAGCACCGGCUAACUACGUGCCAGAAGCCUCGGUGAUACGUAGGGUGCAAGCGCUAUCCGGAAUUAUUGGGCGUAAAGAGUUCGUAGGUGGUUUUGUUCGUUUCGUGUUAAAUCUCCAGGCUCAACUUGGAGUUCGCACGAAAGACAGCAAGACUGGAGUCCAGCAGGGGUUAGCGGAAUUGGCGGUGUAGCAGUGAAAUGCGUUGAUAUCGCCAAGAACACCAAUGGCGCAGGCAGCUAACUAGGUUGGUACUGACACUCAAGAACGAAAGCGUGGGGAGCGAAAGGGAUUAGAUACCCUUGUAGUCCCUGAGCGGGCUGGCAAGGC